rnacentral:rRNA from 1 species
AGUUUGAUCCUGGCUCAGAACGAACGCUGGCGGCGUGGAUAAGACAUGCAAGUCGAACGGAUUAUUCAUUGUAGCAAUACAGAGGGUAGUCAGUGGCGCAAGGGUGCGUAACACGUGGGCAACCUGCCCGGAAGUGGGGGAUAGCUCGUCGAAAGGCGAAUUAAUACCGCAUGUGGCUAGAGGUGGAAUCACCUUGAGGCCAAAGUUGGGGCAACCUGACGCUUCUGGAUGGGCCCGCGGCCUAUCAGCUAGUUGGUGAGGUAACGGCUCACCAAGGCUAUGACGGGUAGCUGGUCUGAGAGGACGACCAGCCACACUGGAACUGAGACACGGUCCAGACACCUACGGGUGGCAGCAGUCGAGAAUUUUUCUCAAUGGGGGAAACCCUGAAGGAGCGACGCCGCGUGGAGGAUGAAGGUCUUCGGAUUGUAAACUCCUGUCAUUGGUGAACAAAGCCCUCGGAGUAACUGCCGUUGGGUUUGAUAGUAGCCGAAGAGGAAGGGACGGCUAACUCUGUGCCAGCAGCCGCGGUAAUACAGAGGUCCCAAGCGUUGUUCGGAUUCAUUGGGCGUAAAGGGUGCGUAGGCGGCGAGGCAAGUCUGGUGUGAAAUCCCGGGGCUCAACCCCGGAACUGCACUGGAUACUGCCUUGCUAGAGUACUGGAGAGGGAACUGGAAUUUACGGUGUAGCAGUGAAAUGCGUAGAUAUCGUAAGGAAGACCAGUGGCGAAGGCGAGGUUCCUGGACAGUUACUGACGCUGAGGCACGAAGGCCAGGGGAGCAAACGGGAUUA